CGAUCCUCCGACUGCACGGCGCCAACCACAACAUGCUACCCACCGUGAGAGAGCAGGACUCGGGCUGCUCUAGUCAGGACUUAUCGUCUAUCAUACUGAUUGACGAAACCAAGAGUGAGCAGAAAAAAUAAACACGAACAGAGGCUGCAGUGUAUGGGCCAGUCAGCUGGGAGUUUUAGUAUUUGGCCUUGGUGAUCCUACUCUCAUGGCCGUAUGAAUUUCUGCAUGCAAUCUUCUAAUUCCCCAGCUCUGCUUGCCCUGAGAUUUUUGUGGCUGAAUUUGACAAGCAGAAGUAAAGGAGAUGGGUCAGUUCAGGGUGGACCACUCAGAGCAGCACACCUCGAUGAAAUCAUCAUCAGCAUUCAUUCUGGUGCUCACAUCAAGUCAAUGGACACAAUGGAACCAGUACCUCACUAAACAUGGAGAACCAGCACACACUUCCGAGACAACAGCAUUCAAGUUUUCCUCCAUUGUUUUGCUCAUAUGAGGCAACCUGCAUUUGUGGCCCCAUAUUAUACAUGGGCUUUCAUAUUGGCAAUUUGAGAAAUAUUAUU